CCUACGGGUGGCAGCAGUGGGGAAUAUUGGACAAUGGGCGAAAGCCUGAUCCAGCCAUGCCGCGUGUGUGAAGAAGGCCUUCGGGUUGUAAAGCACUUUCAGUGGGGAAGAAAGCCUUGGGGCUAAUACCCUCGAGGAAGGACAUCACCCACAGAAGAAGCACCGGCUAACUCCGUGCCAGCAGCCGCGGUAAUACGGAGGGUGCGAGCGUUAAUCGGAAUUACUGGGCGUAAAGCGCGCGUAGGCGGUCUGAUAAGCCGGUUGUGAAAGCCCCGGGCUCAACCUGGGAACGGCAUCCGGAACUGUCAGGCUAGAGUGCAGGAGAGGAAGGUAGAAUUCCCGGUGUAGCGGUGAAAUGCGUAGAGAUCGGGAGGAAUACCAGUGGCGAAGGCGGCCUUCUGGAAUGACACUGACGCUGAGGUGCGAAAGCGUGGGUAGCAAACAGGAUUAGAUACCCCUGUAGUC
rnacentral:rRNA from 1 species